rnacentral:rRNA from 1 species
UGAGUAACCUGCCCUUAACUCUGGGAUAAGCCUGGGAAACUGGGUCUAAUACCGGAUAUGACUCCUCAUCGCAUGGUGGGGGGUGGAAAGCUUUAUUGUGGUUUUGGAUGGACUCGCGGCCUAUCAGCUUGUUGGUGAGGUAAUGGCUUACCAAGGCGACGACGGGUAGCCGGCCUGAGAGGGUGUCCGGCCACACUGGGACUGAGAUACGGCCCAGACUCCUACGGGGGGCAG